UACAGAGGUCCCAAGCGUUGUUCGGAUUCAUUGGGCGUAAAGGGUGCGUAGGCGGCGCGGUAAGUCGGGUGUGAAAUCUCGGGGCUUAACUCCGAAACUGCAUUCGAUACUGCCGUGCUUGAGGACUGGAGAGGAGACUGGAAUUUACGGUGUAGCGGUGAAAUGCGUAGAUAUCGUAAGGAAGACCAGUGGCGAAGGCGGGUCUCUGGACAGUUCCUGGACGCUGGAGGCACGAAGGCCAGGGGAGCAAACGGG
rnacentral:rRNA from 1 species